rnacentral:rRNA from 1 species
AGUAAAAUGGAGUGCAUAUCUGUUUGAAUGAAAGGGGAACCUUCCUCUAAGACUAAAUAUAAUAUAUAAGCGAUAGCGAAUAGUACCGUGAGGGAAAUGAUUGAAAUAGUAAUUUUAUAAGCAGCUCAAAAAUAGUUUAAAUAAACAAUGAGAGCGUACCUUUUGCAUAAUGGGUCAGCAAGUUAAUAUUCGAUGCGAGCAAUAAUGCAAAGAUAAAACAAUUAUGAUAUAAUGAUCUAGUAUCGAAAUUAGACCCGAAGCCUAGUGAUCUUACCAUGAUCAGGAUUAUAAAAGUCCGAACGGGUUAUCGUUGUAAAGAUAUCCGAAGAAUUGUGGUAAGUUAGUGAAAGACAAUUCUGACUAGGAUAGCUGGUUUUCUGCGAAACCUAUAUAAGUAGGUAAUUUAAAUAGAAUAUCAGAAGGUACAGAAUUGUGAUCUCAUGCAACCAGUAUUUAUUUUUUGAUUAAUCUAAAAAUAACAGCUUGCUUGUGUGCUUAUAUUAGCUUACGCUACGUAAGUAUGCAUGUAUGCCUUUUUUAGGGUAAUCUAAAUAAAAAUAUACUUUUUGUGGACAUUGGGGGGUCGUGAAGACUCUAUCAGUGAGUAUUUGUUCUCGGAAGGUCUAGAUAUGUAUAUUGAAUAAUCGGACAUAGUACGAUAAGGUUGUAUGUCUAAAGGGAAAUAGCCCAGAACAAGAGUUAAUAAGGUUCCAAAAUUUUUGUUAAGUGAAAUUAAGGCAGUAUUUAUCCCAAUCGGCCAGGAAAUAGGCUUAGAAGCGGCCAUUUUUUGAAGACCUCGUAACAGAGCACUGGUUUUCUAUUUUAUGGAUAAAAGCACCGAAAAUUUAACGGAUCUAAACAAAAUACCGAUACCUUGUCCAUAUAUAUUAAUGUGUAUAUUAUAUAUUGUAUAUAUGGGGUAGCGGAACAUUGGGUAGCCAUUUUUAAUCCUUUAUAAGGAUUAAAUUGCCUAGAGUUUAAUUUAUUAUUGCCUAUAGUUUAAUUUAUUAUUCUCUGGACUAAAUAAGCCCAAGUGAUAAUGCUGACAUGAGUAACGAUAAAGGAUCAUUAGGACAUAAAUGUCUAAAAAUCCUCGCCUAAAGCUUAUGGCAUUUAUUAAAGUUACGGCCUCUAAGUUUAUUUUUUUUCAUAGCUUUCGAUUAUCUAUAUAUAGUAUAUAUUUAAUAUCUACACCUAAAUAGUCGUGAGUUAUGACAAAUUACCUAAUAGUAUAAACGAUGAGAAAACCUAGAGUUUACAGUAAUUAACGUUUUUUAUUUACCUAGUAACUGAAACUCCGCUUCUCCCCUUGAAUUAUUAUUUUAAUAAUCUAUUCUUAAAGGGAAAACGGAAUUUAUUUACUAAUAUUUUAAGUAAAUUAAGUGAAAAAUGUUCUGGAAAACUGUAAGCUCCGUAAGUAAUAUAAAAAAGUAAACAAAAUGUAUUGUAAGAUAAAAAAGUAAACAAAAUAUAUUGUAAGCUUACGCUAUAAUACCGUACCUAAAUACUAACACAAGUGAGCAAGUAGAGAAUACGAAGGCGUUCGAGCUAACAAUCAUUAAGGAACUCGGCAAAUUGACUCUCGUAACUUCGGGAUAAGGUGGACCAUUUCUUCUGAUUAAUAUCAGGCAAGAAAGAGGAGGCAUAGAAUGGUGUUGUACGACUGUUUAAUUAAAACAAAGCACGCUGCGAAGAAAUAAAUUCGAUGUAUUGAGUGUGAUCUCUGCCCGAUGGCGGCUGGUUAACUAAUUUGCUUAGUUAAAUAAAAUAAGCUAGGCUUUGAUGGAAACCCCGUUCAAUGGCGGCCUUACCUAUAAGGGUCCUAAGGUAGCGUAAUACCUUGGCCGUUAAAUGCGGUCUUGCAUGAAUGAUGUAACGAUACAACAGCUGUCUCUAUGAUUGGCUCGGUGAAAUUGGAAUAACUGUGCAGAUACAGUUUACCUUUAGUUGGACGAGAAGACCCUAUGCAGCUUUACUGUUGCUAGUUACUGAAUAUGAUAUAAUGAGUUGUAGUGUAUAAGGUAAUUAAUAUAGAAUUGAAACACCUUUACUUCAUUUAUCAUAUUAUAUAAACCUUACAAGCAAAUUGCCAGUAAAGUCAAUAAAUAUAAUUACUGGUUGUAAGAUUUGAUAGGAACAAUUGCUAGGUGGCAGUUUAUGCGGGGCACAGAUCCCAUAAAGAGUACCUGGGAUCAAGUUUAACGGCUUAAUCUUGCUUUACUGUUUGACUUACAUGUCUUUCAGUUGCGUAAGCAGGGCAUAUGAUCACAAGAUGCAGAAAGGAAAGGUCUUGGAUUAUUGAAAAAGUUACGCUAGGGAUAACAGGCUAAUCCCGCCAGAGAGUUCAAAUUGAGUGCGGGGUUUGGCACCUCGAUGUCGGCUUAGCUCAUCCACAUGAAUGUAGGAGUCAUGAAGGGUCCGACUGUUCGUCGAUUAAAGAGCUACAUGAGCUGGGUUAAAUACGUUGUAAGACAGUAUGGUUUCUAUCCUCUAGAGGAAGUUGGAAUAAAUUAAGGAUAGCCCCUUGUACGAGAGGAAUUGGGUAUAUUAACCUAUGGUUUACCUGUUGUU